rnacentral:rRNA from 1 species
CUGGGAGGACCAUCUCCUAAGGCUAAAUACUCUCUAGUGACCGAUAGUGAACCAGUACCGUGAGGGAAAGGUGAAAAGCACCCCGGAAGGGGAGUGAAAUAGAACCUGAAACCGUGUGCUUACAAGUAGUCAGAGCCCGUUAAUGGGUGAUGGCGUGCCUUUUGUAGAAUGAACCGGCGAGUUACGAUUUGAUGCAAGGUUAAGCAGUAAAUGUGGAGCCGUAGCGAAAGCGAGUCUGAAUAGGGCGUUUAGUAUUUGGUCGUAGACCCGAAACCAGGUGAUCUACCCUUGGUCAGGUUGAAGUUCAGGUAACACUGAAUGGAGGACCGAACCGACUUACGUUGAAAAGUGAGCGGAUGAACUGAGGGUAGCGGAGAAAUUCCAAUCGAACCUGGAGAUAGCUGGUUCUCUCCGAAAUAGCUUUAGGGCUAGCCUCAAGUGAUGAUUAUUGGAGGUAGAGCACUGUUUGGACGAGGGGCCCCUCUCGGGUUACCGAAUUCAGACAAACUCCGAAUGCCAAUUAAUUUAACUUGGGAGUCAGAACAUGGGUGAUAAGGUCCGUGUUCGAAAGGGAAACAGCCCAGACCACCAGCUAAGGUCCCAAAAUAUAUGUUAAGUGGAAAAGGAUGUGGCGUUGCCCAGACAACUAGGAUGUUGGCUUAGAAGCAGCCAUCAUUUAAAGAGUGCGUAAUAGCUCACUAGUCGAGUGACACUGCGCCGAAAAUGUACCGGGGCUAAACAUAUUACCGAAGCUGUGGAUUGUCCUUUGGACAAUGGUAGGAGAGCGUUCUAAGGGCGUUGAAGCAUGAUCGUAAGGACAUGUGGAGCGCUUAGAAGUGAGAAUGCCGGUGUGAGUAGCGAAAGACGGGUGAGAAUCCCGUCCACCGAUUGACUAAGGUUUCCAGAGGAAGGCUCGUCCGCUCUGGGUUAGUCGGGUCCUAAGCUGAGGCCGACAGGCGUAGGCGAUGGAUAACAGGUUGAUAUUCCUGUACCACCUAUAAUCGUUUUAAUCGAUGGGGGGACGCAGUA